rnacentral:rRNA from 1 species
UACGAAGGGGGCGAGCGUUUGUUCGGAUUUAUUGGGCGUAAAGAGCGUGUAGGCGGCCAGGUAGGUCUGCUGUGAAAACUCGAGGCUCAACCUCGAGACGUCGGCGGAAACCAUCUGGCUAGAGUCCGGAAGAGGAGAGUGGAAUUCCUGGUGUAGCGGUGAAAUGCGCAGAUAUCAGGAGGAACACCGGUGGCGAAGGCGGGUCUCUGGGCCGAUACUGACGCUGAGGAGCGAAAGCGUGGGGAGCGAACAGG